UAUGCAUGAGUAGUCUCACUGAAUUCAAUACUGUUCAGGGUCCUGCCUUAUGCAGGAAGUCAGAUUACAUGAUCAAAAGGACAUCUUCUGGUUUUAAACUCUAGGAAUCUGUGACUACUCUCGUGCUUAAGUGUUUGCAUUGUAUUCAAGAAAUACACCAGAACAAACUCUUGGAGGCACAGUCAGCUUGGAAAACUCACAUUUUGGACUGGAAAAAAAGAAGUUCAGAGAAGUGGGAGCCGACUGAGGUGGGGAAUCUUGCCUGAAUAAGACAUUUCAACUGCUCACCUUCAACUUCUGGUCACUGACUUCCUUCCUUGAUGAUCAAAGAAAUUUGGAGGGAAGGGCGCACGAGAGAAAUACCCCAAAUUGUGGAUUUCAAUGAGUUGGGAGCUUUGGGAAGGAGAACCAAUCACAGACCGGUGCCCCCUCCCCAAAUAAAAAUGUUUCUCAUGACUCCCUCAUGACUGUGGAGAAAAGCUUGAACAUGUGAACAUCAAAGGCUCCAACACCAGAAGGCUGGUGUUUCUUGAGUCUUCUUGACAUCAAAACCCCAAUGAGUACAGAACCCGCCAGAACUCCACCUACUGCUGCCAAAAUCAC